rnacentral:rRNA from 1 species
AUUGAACGCUGGCGGCAUGCCUUCCACAUGCAAGUCGAACGCGAAAGGGGGGCAACCCUGAGUAGAGUGGCGAACGGGUGAGUAAUGCAUCGGAACGUGUCCUGCAGCGGGGGACAACCCCGAGAAAUCGGGGCUAAUACCGCAUACGUCCUACGGGAGAAAGUGGGGACCGCAAGGCCUCACACUAUAGGGGCGGCCGAUGCCGGAUUAGCUAGUUGGUGGGGUAAGGGCCCACCAAGGCGACGAACCGUACCUGGUCUGAGAGGAUGAUCAGCCACACUGGGACUGAGACACGGCCCAGACUCCGACGGGAGGCAGCAGUGGGGAAUUUUGGACAAUGGGCGCAAGCCUGAUCCAGCCAUGCCGCGUGAGUGAAGAAGGCCUUCGGGUUGUAAAGCUCUUGCGGCCGGGACGAAAUCGCUCUCGCUAAUAUCGGGAGUGGAUGACGGUACCGGAAUAAGAAGCACCGGCUAACUACGUGCCAGCCGCCGCGGUAA